GACGAACGCUGGCGGCGUGCUUAACACAUGCAAGUCGAACGGUAAGGCCCUUCGGGGUACACGAGUGGCGAACGGGUGAGUAACACGUGGGUGAUCUGCCCCGCACUCCGGGAUAAGCCUGGGAAACUGGGUCUAAUACCGGAUAGGACUCCUGGCUUCAUGGUUGGGGGUGGAAAGCUUUUGCGGUGUGGGAUGGGCCCGCGGCCUAUCAGCUUGUUGGUGGGGUAAUGGCCUACCAAGGCGACGACGGGUAGCCGGCCUGAGAGGGUGACCGGUCACACUGGGACUGAGAUACGGCACAGACUCCUACGGGAGGCAGCAGUGGGGAAUAUUGCACAAUGGGCGCAAGCCUGAUGCAGCGACGCCGCGUGAGGGAUGACGGCCUUCGGGUUGUAAACCUCUUUCAGCUAUGACGAAGCGCAAGUGACGGUAGUAGCAGAAGAAGGACCGGCCAACUACGUGCCAGCCGCCGCCGUAA
rnacentral:rRNA from 1 species